GUGCCAGCAGCCGCGGUAAGACGAACCGUGCGAACGUUGUUCGGAAUCACUGGGCUUAAAGGGCGCGUAGGCGGGUUUUCAAGUCUGUGGUGAAAUCCUCCAGCUUAACUGGAGAAGUGCCGUGGAUACUGGAGACCUCGAGGAGGGUAGGGGCAUCUGGAACAGCCGGUGGAGCGGUGAAAUGCGUUGAUAUCGGCUGGAACUCCGAUGGCGAAGGCAAGGUGCUGGACCCUCUCUGACGCUGAGGCGCGAAAGCUAGGGGAGCAAACAGGAUUAGAUACCCUGGUAGUCC
rnacentral:rRNA from 1 species